UGCAGGACUGUGUUCUCAGUGAGGUCACCCCAGUCCAGGGGAGUUUCCAUUACACACUAGAGAGUUUUUUAGGGGUGAGCAACAUGCAGAUACAGUGCAGAUCUCGUAUCUCCAGUUAUUCAGGUUUCUCUGAACGAAGGAGAUGAGCCACAACACAGGGACGCAGGAAGGAAAGUAUGGUAACUCCCCAGCAUACUUCAUUCACAGCAGUGGGGUAUCAGGUAUCAAGAACUGGCAGAAUAAACCUAGAGCUUCAACUCAUGGAAGUCUUCAAGAAGCUUUUUGCAAUCUACCCAUGAGCUCUUUGUUCUUCCUCAUACAAGUGGGCAGAUAUACAUACCUUCUGCACAUGUGAUGGGCUACAGUAUUUGGUUUCCUGUCAUUUAGGAAAGGCAGAGUCACAACAUCACAUCCUCAGCAAAAGGGAAGAGUGCGAAUUCUUUGGGGACAAAACAACUGAGGAAGGCAUCUGGCACACAGGAAUAACUCCAUUAUGGCAGGCUGCUCAGAAGCAAACAGAACUUCAAAUGAAAGCAAAAAUUUUGGGAGCUAUUUAUACAACAGGUUUCAACAGUGACUGGGAAAGAAGUUCUUAUCUGUAUUGACCUGGGAGGAAGGCAGGGCAGAAGAAUUUGACCAAGACACACUAUCUCUCUAUUCUCAGAGGAAAGGGAACUAAGGACAAUGUCCCAUAUGUUAAAUAUUAAGAGGCUGAAUUCCCUAUUACAAGGAUCAAGCAACCAGUUUCCAAUUGAUAACUGUUUUAACCACUACAUCCACAAUGUUUGCCUUUCCUGCCAGCUCUA